AUCUCCUGGCACCAUUCUCUAAUAAACUCUUAAAUUUGUUCUUAUCAGUUUAAUAUCUGAUAUGUUCUCAAUAUGAGAACUGUAUAUUAAAUGGAUUUUUAGAACAGGGAGUUGGAAUAGGAGCUUGCUCCAUCCACUCCACGCAUCCGCCUGGUAUUGCAGUACUUCUGGGCAGGGAAAAAAAAAA
ensembl:snRNA U2 U2 spliceosomal RNA